AGCUGAGAGUAAAGCUUUUCGU
rnacentral:snRNA from 1 species